GCUGAGAGCAGAACAGAUAUAGCAACACGGCAGUGCAGUAGGUGUGAGAGAGAUAGACAGCCUUCUCAAAUAACACCAGUAACUAUAUCAUUGACUGAACGAGGUCGCAUCGGAACCCUGCGAUUGGAAUAAUAGUUUAGUACAUCUUGGUAGUGUUGGCUGAAGUCCACGCCGAUAGAAUCGACCAGAACGGAGAAAACAACACAGCAGAUAACAUAGUGGUCUGUACCAAGCCUCCAGCCUCAACCACAGAACAGGGGGUCGACCCCUUACAGGACAUCCCAGGGAGGAACACUGAGGAAAAGGAGGAGAAGAGGACGAGAGAUGAAGACGAGGAUCUAGAGUUCCCUCACGACUUCCUGCCCAGCACAGACCUCAGCCUUGAACUCCACUGGGGGACUUCACUUGGAAGCUUCCAGCCUUUGGAGCCUCUGGUGUCUCCUGUGGCAGAGUUCCAAUCCCCCUCUGAAGAGACCCCUACCCCACUGGCUCCAGCAGAGACCCUACCCCACUGGGUCCAGCAGAGACCCCUACACCACUGGGUCCGGCAGAGACCCCUACCCUGCUGGGUCCAGCAGAGACCCCUACCCUGCUGGGUCCAGCAGAGACCACUACCCUACUGGGUCCGGCAGAGACCCCUACCCUACUGGGUCUUGCAGAGACCCCUACCCUACUGGAUCAGGCAGAGGCCCCUACCCUACUGGAUCAGGCAGAGACCCCUACCCCACUGUGUCAGGCAGAGACCCCUACCCUGCUGAGUCCAGCAGAGACCCCUACCCUACUGGGUCAGGCAGAGACCCCUACCCCACUGGGUCAGGCAGAGACCCCUACCCCACUGGGUCAGGCAGAGACCCCUACCCUACUGGGUCAGGCAGAGACUCCUACACUACUGUGUCAGGCAGAAACCCCUACACUACUGUGUCAGGCAGAGACCCCUACCCCACUGGGUCAGGCAGAGACCCCUACCCCACUGGGUCAGGCAGAGACCCCUACCCUACUGUGUCAGGCAGAGACUCCUACACUACUGGGUUCGGCAGAAACCCCUACCCCACUGGGUCAGGCAGAGACCCCUACCCUACUGGACCAGGCAGAGACCCCUACCCCACUGGGUCAGGCAGAGACCCCUACCCUACUGGACCAGGCAGAGACCCCUACUCUACUGGGUCAGGCAGAGGAAGCUACCCCAGUAAGACAAAAAAAGAGGCAGACAGAGGAGCAACCAGCCCAUGAAAAAGAGACCCCAGGACAGACAAUUAGCGGGUCCUCCCUGACAGAGGCUGAGCAGACUGAGGAGAGGAGUAAGCCUCCUUCUUUCACCUCCUCCUCCCCACCUCCUCCCCCUGCCACCUCCUCCCCACCUCCUCCCCCUGUCACCUCCUCCCCACCUCCUCCCCCAGCCACAUCCUCCCCACCUCCUCC